GGGGCAAAGCUAGUUUUUGGACAUGUGGAGUUUGGAGUACUAGUAAGACAUUCAAGGAGAGAUGUUCUAUAGGCAGUUGGAAAAGAAAAACUGAAGCUUGGGAGACAUCAAAGCUAGAGAUAUAGAUUUGGAAAUGAUUUGCCUAAAGGUGAUAGCUGAAGCCAAUAGAGUGUAUAAUAGGACCAAAGGAGAACUUAUAACAAAUAGAAAAAUAGGGAGGAAAAUACCUACCUGAAUGGGUUGGAAAGAUAAGGAGUCAGUAAAGGGGACAAAAUUCAAAAAAGCAGAAGCAGUAAAAUGUGAUAUUACUGAGCUCAACAGAGGAGAAUAAUGACUAGUAAGAAGGAAUUACCAGAAAAUUAAAAGGAAAAAAUGACCAAGAUGGUCAGGGAGUAAAAAGUAAAUGAUGAGAGCUAGAGGUUAUUUAUGGUACUUAAUAUGGAGGCUUGGAAGAAAAUAGAAAAGAUCUGAAAUGUCUACUGUGGAAAACUUGGGAAGAGGAAUCCAUAAAAGUACCCCAGAUGAGAAUCAAAAUGGGUGGAUGGAGUUUCUACUGAAAAGGAGAAGUAUCAAAUAUCUAGUCUACAACACUCCUGAGUGCAGCUGGAACCAGAUGAAAAUGCAAUUGAAAAAUAUUAACAAAAUAAAUAAAAAACACUAUACAGCACUGGUUAACAAGAACUUCAGUUUUGGCGGGGGUUUUGGAUACCACUUUUAUCAUUUAGUAAAUUCUGAUUUUCAAGGAAUUAAAUACUACAAUUUUUUUGGUGCCUCUUUCACUAAGGUAUUAAUUCUCUUCAUAAUUUUCUUGCAUGGUUCUAAUUUCUUUUCCCCAUAUUCUUCUUAUUUGUUUUAUUUUUUAUGUUUGCAUUUUUUAAAUCUCUUCCUUUUGUUGUUUUAAGAAUUCUUGUUGGGCUUGUGAGUAAUCUACAUUUUUCUUUGAGGCUUUGCUUCUAAAUGUUUUCAAGUUCUUCUGAAUUUGUGUUUUGGCUUUCCCUAUCACCCCAGUAGCUAUUUGUGGUCAAGUUCUAUUGUUUAUUCAUCUUUCUGGUCUGCUUCUCGUCUUUAGACUUUCUGUUAUGGAACGUGUGCUGGAGAUUGUUAAGAUAGCAAUGAAUUUUUAUAUGUUCUCAAAGACUGAAAUAAUGAUAGUUUUCUUCAUUACUCUUGGAAACUGAAAGUCAGCAGGAAAGUUUACUUUAUUACACAAGUUGACAGGUUUCCUGUCAUUAAGUUUUGAAAUAAUUUUUAACUUCAUAAAAUCAAAAUGAUUUUAGAAAUGAAAAGGGAAAUCACUAGAACAACAUCAUAAGAACAACUGGUUUUAUGAUUUGGCUUUCAUUGUAGAUAGGUCUAGAUGUAUACAUGUAUAUUAAAUGAGCUAAAAAUUGAAAUGUUGGGGUCAAAAUUGGGGUGUGAUGUUUAUGUAGAAAUGCACUAAAGCCUCAUAAGAAAAAAUUUAUCUUUAGAAAUGGCAACUAAAAUAUUAUGAUUUGACUCAUUUUCCUACACAUAAAAACAAUUGAGUCAUUUGGUUCUCAUGGUUUCAGUAAGUAUGCAUAAUCUUAAAGUUUGGUAGUAUAUACCUAUAUGAAUGAUGAUACUUCAUUUCUGAAGAUUAUUAAAACUUCAUAUAGGGUAAUAUUAAAGCAUUUAUCAUUGAUGCUAAAAAAAUUUCUUAUCACACUAUCUGAUGCCUGAUAUUGAUAAAAAUAAUUUCAGGUAAAAGAUGCCAAGUUUCAAGCAAGCAAUACUAAAUUAAUUAUAAAACUUAUUAAAUGGAUAUCUUGAGAUGACUUUAAAUGUAUUCAAUACUAAAACAUAAAAUUAUAGGCUUUUUAUUUAUAGCUAGUUCUUAUCAGAUUUGUAUGAAUAUAUGUAAUAAAUAUCUGUACAUACAUAUAUACAUAAUGAAAACAAAAUUUCAAAUUCACAAUAAAUGUUAAUACUUGUUAAUACAUAUUAAUUCAAUCUAGUUCCCAUUUGGUUUUUGUUGUUGUGUUUGUUUGUUUUUUAAAACCCUUAUCUUCAUUCUUGGUUCCAAGACAGAAGAGUGGUAUGGGCUAGGCUAUGGGGGUCAAGUGACUUGCCCAGGGUCACACAGCUGGGAAGAGUCUGAGGCCAGAUUUGCACCUAGGACCUCCCUUCUCUAGGCCUAGCUCUCAAUCCACUGAGCCACCCAGCUGCCCCCUCCCAUUUGGUUUUAAUAUGAUGAUAAAUUAAUGAAAAAGAAAUAUAUAAACAAGUGGUUUUCCAAGAAGCUUACAGGGAUCCUUCUAUUGACUCCACAGCUCUAAAGAACAGAUACCAUACCACAAUCACCAUU